GGCGAUCAGAUACCGCCCUAGUUCUGACCGUAAACGAUGCCAACUAGCGAUCCGCCGGCGGAUUCAUUCGCCCUGGUGGGGAGCUUCCCGGAAACGAAAGUCUUCCGGUUCCGGGGGAAGUAUGGUUGCAAAGCUGAAACUUAAAGGAAUUGACGGAAGGGCACCACCAGGAGUGGAGCCUGCGGCUUAAUUUGACUCAACACGGGGAAACUCACCCGGCCCGGACACCGUAAGGAUUGACAGAUUGAUAGCUUUUUCAUGAUUCGGUGGAUGGUGGUGCAUGGCCGUUCUUAGUUCGUGGAGCGAUUUGUCUGGUUUAUUCCGAUAACGAGCGAGACUCUAGCCUACUAAAUAGUUGGCUCAUUGCUGCUGUGGGCACAACUUCUUAGAGGGAUUUUCGGUGUUCAGCCGCACGAAAUUGAGCAAUAACAGGUCUGUGAUGCCCUUAGAUGUCCGGGGCUGCACGCGCGCUACACUGGCAAAAUCAGCGUGCUUGUCCUUCCCCGAAAGGGGUUGGUAAACCGGUGAAAAUUUGCCGUGAUUGGGAUCGGACAUUGCAAUUAUUGUCCGUGAACGAGGAAUUCCUUGUAGGGGCGAGUCAUCAACUCGCUCUGAUUACGUCCCUGCCCUUUGUA
rnacentral:rRNA from 1 species